GACGAACGCUGGCGGCGUGCUUAACACAUGCAAGUCGAACGGAAACGCCCUGCUUUUUUGGGGUGCUCGAGUGGCGAACGGGUGAGUAACACGUGGGUACCCUGCCCUUCACUUUGGGGUGACUUCAUGAAACUGGGGCUAUUCCCGGCUAGGAGCUCCUGCUGCAGGGUGGGGGCUGGUAAGUUUCGGCGGUUGGGGGUGGACUCGCGGCCUAUCGGCUUGUUGGUGGGGUAGUGGCUUACCAAGGCUUUGCAGGGUAGCCGGCCUGCGAGGGUGACCGGCCACAGUGGGCCUGAGAUACGGCCCAGACUCCUACGGGAGGCAGGGGUGGGGAAGAGUGUACAGUGGGCGGAAGCCUGAUGUAGCAACGCCGCGUGGGGGAAGACAGCAAGCGGGUAGGAAACCGCUUUCGCCUGUGACGAAGCGUGAGUGACGGUAACGGGUAAAGAAGCACCGGCUAACUACGUG
rnacentral:rRNA from 1 species